rnacentral:rRNA from 1 species
GACGAACGCUGGCGGCGUGCUUAACACAUGCAAGUCGAGCGGUAAGGCCCUUUCGGGGUACACGAGCGGCGAACGGGUGAGUAACACGUGGGUGACCUGCCCUCAGCUCUGGGAUAAGCCUGGGAAACUGGGUCUAAUACUGGAUAUGACUCCACGGUGCAUGUCGUGGGGUAGGAAAGCCUUGUGCGGCUGAGGAUGGGCCCGCGGCCUAUCAGCUUGUUGGGUGGGG